rnacentral:lncRNA from 1 species
AUAUAUUAAAAGAAUGUAUAAAAAUAUCAAAAUAAAGUUUUGGUUAAGUGAUAAAUUUAAGGUUUUAUUACUCCAAUUGGUAUGGGUUUAAAUAUUAUCACGUGUAUAUAUAUAUUUUUGUUAAAAUGAAAAGAUUAAAAUACCCUUGAACAAUAUGACUUAUUUUAAUAAUGAAAUGACAUUUUUUUAAUUUCUUAACUGAAUUGAUUCCCGAUUCACC